UACGUAGGGUGCAAGCGUUAAUCGGAAUUACUGGGCGUAAAGCGUGCGCAGGCGGUUUUGUAAGUCUGAUGUGAAAUCCCCGGGCUCAACCUGGGAAUUGCAUUGGAGACUGCAAGGCUAGAAUCUGGCAGAGGGGGGUAGAAUUCCACGUGUAGCAGUGAAAUGCGUAGAGAUGUGGAGGAACACCGAUGGCGAAGGCAGCCCCCUGGGUCAAGAUUGACGCUCAUGCACGAAAGCGUGGGGAGCAAAC
rnacentral:rRNA from 1 species